GGCUUCCUGGUACUUAGCACUAACUAUAAGAAAGAAGAGCCAGAGUAAGCUACUCCUUGCACCCCUUACCCACGCUUUGUGCCGGGUCUGUAUUAUGAGUGAAGAGGCGAAA
rnacentral:snoRNA from 1 species